rnacentral:rRNA from 1 species
AAUCCCUUAGCGAGGAUCCAUUGGAGGGCAAGUCUGGUGCCAGCAGCCGCGGUAAUUCCAGCUCCAAUAGCGUAUACUAAAAUUGUUGCAGUUAAAAAGCUCGUAGUUGGAUUUCUGGUAAGGAGAGACUAUUGAGCCAGUAUAGUUGGUGUGAGAUAGGCAACUAUUUCAUGUUGGUUAUAUGUGGGUUCAAUAUUGGUUUCUCUGCCAUCAUUCGUGGAGAGUAAUUUGGCUCUUAACUGAGUUGGAUUACGAUCCCGAUCAAUUACUUUGAAAAAAUUAGAGUGUUCAAAGCAGGCGAUAUGCAGUUGAAUACAUUAGCAUGGAAUAAUGAGAAAGGACUUUGAUCCUAAUCAUUGGUUGUCAGGAUUGAAGCCACGAUUGAUAGGGAUGGUUGGGGGUGUCGGUACUCAACGGCCAGAGGCGAAAUUCUAUGAUUCGUUGAAGACCAACAAAUGCGAAAGCACCCACCAUGGGCAUUCCCUUUAAUCAAGAACGAAAGUUGGGGGAUCGAAGACGAUCAGAUACCGUCGUAGUCUCAACCAUAAACGAUGCCAACUCGGGAUUGGUGGACGUUAGACUUAAAAAAUCAAGACUCCAUCAGCACCGUAUGAGAAAUUAAGAGUCUUUGGGUUCCGGGGGAAGUCCGAUCGCAAGGUUGAAACUUAAAGGAAUUGACGGAAGGACACCACCAGAAAUGGAGCCUGCGGCUUAAUAUGACCCAACACGGGAAAACUUACCAGGUCCAGACAUAGUGAGGAUUGACAGAUUGAAGAUCUUUCUUGAUUCUAUGGGUGGUGGUGCAUGGUCGUUCUUAGUUGGUGGAGUGAUUUGUCUGGUUAAUUCCGUUAACGAACGAGACCUCAGCCUGCUAAGUAGAUGGAUGAAAAGCUGAUUCGUUAGUUUUUCAUUUUAGGUAUGACAUUUCGGUGUUGUAUCUUCAUUUUCUUAGAGGGACUUUUGGUGUUUAGCCAAAGGAAGUUUGAGGCAAUAACAGGUCUGUGAUGCCCUUAGAUGUUCUGGGCUGCACGUGCGCUACACUGUUGUGUUCAGCGAGUUAAUCCAAAACCUUGAUCGAGAGGUCUGGGUAAUCUUUGAAAGCACAACGUGAUGGGGCUAGAUUAUUGUAAUUAUUAAUCUUCAACGAGGAACUCCUAGUAAGCGCAAGUCAUCAGCUUGCAUUGAUUACGUCCCUGCCCUUUGUACACACCGCCCGUCGCUCCUACCGAUUGAAUGAUCCGGUGAAAUGCUCGAACCAAGACGCUAAUAGCGGGCUUGCUCGUUAUGGUGCUUUGGGAAGUUCAGUAAACCUUAUCAUUUAGAGGA